rnacentral:rRNA from 1 species
AUGGUGGGACAGUUCAAGACAGCAUGCGGUGGCAUGACUCAUCUGCUUGUCGCAGUGGACAAGUUCACCAAGUGGAUAGAAGCAAAACCAAUCCAGAAGUUGAAUGGUCCGACUGCUCUGACUUUCAUAUCCGACAUCACCAUCCGGUAUGGCAUACCGCACAACAUCAUCAUCGAUAACGGCACAAAUUUCGCCAAGGGCGCCUUGGCUCAUUUCUGCGCGACGCAGGGCAUCCGGUUGGACUUAGCGUCCGUUGCUCAUCCACAGUCAAACGGCCAAGUAGAGCGAGCAAACGGCCUCAUUUUGUCCGGUAUCAAGCCCCGACUGGUCGAGCCUCUGGAGCGUUCGGCCGGCUCUUGGCUCGAUGAGCUGCCGGCCGUCCUCUGGAGCCUGCGCGCAACUCCGAACAAGUCAACCGGCUUCACGCCUUUCCCCCUCGUCUACUGUGCCGAAGCCGUCAUCCCGGCGGACAUAGAAUUUGACUCGCCUCGAGUCACCAUGUACACCGAAGAGAAGCCAAAAGAAGCACGAGAAGACGACGUCGAUCUGCUGGAAGAGGGCCGGCUGUUGGCACUCAGCCGGUCCACCAUCUACCAGCAGAGUCUACGCCGAUACUACAACCAGAAGGUCAAGCCAAGAUCCUUCCAAGAGGGAGACCUUGUGCUCCGGCUGACCCACCGAACAGCCGGCUAG